CCUACGGGUGGCAGCAGUGGGGAAUAUUGCACAAUGGGGGAAACCCUGAUGCAGCGACGCCGCGUGAGUGAAGAAGUCUUUCGGUAUGUAAAGCUCUGUCAACAAGGAAGAAAAUGACGGUACCUGACCAAGAAGCCCCGGCUAACUACGUGCCAGCAGCCGCGGUAAUACGUAGGGGGCAAGCGUUAUCCGGAUUUACUGGGUGUAAGGGGAGCGUAUACGGCUGGUCAAGUCAGGAGUGAAAGGCGGGGGCUCAACCCUCGGACUGCCAUGGAUACUGCCAGGCUGGAGUGCAGGAGAGGUAAGUGGAAUUCGUAGUGUAGCGGUGAAAUGCGUAGAUAUCAGGAGGAACACCAGUGGCGAAGGCGGCUUACUGGACUGUAACUGACGUUGAGGCUCGAAAGUGUGGGGAGCAAACAGGAUUAGAUACCCGAGUAGUC
rnacentral:rRNA from 1 species